rnacentral:rRNA from 1 species
GAUGAACGCUAGCGGGAGGCCUAACACAUGCAAGCCGAGCGGUAUUGUUUCUUCGGAAAUGAGAGAGCGGCGUACGGGUGCGGAACACGUGUGCAACCUGCCUUUAUCUGGGGGAUAGCCUUUCGAAAGGAAGAUUAAUACUCCAUAACAUAUUGAUUGGCAUCAAUUAAUAUUGAAAGCUCCGGCGGAUAGAGAUGGGCACGCGCAAGAUUAGCUAGUUGGUGAGGUAACGGCUCACCAAGGCGAUGAUCUUUAGGGGGCCUGAGAGGGUGAUCCCCCACACUGGUACUGAGACACGGACCAGACUCCUACGGGAGGCAGCAGUGAGGAAUAUUGGUCAAUGGGUGCAGGCCUGAACCAGCCAUCCCGCGUGAAGGACGACUGCCCUAUGGGUUGUAAACUUCUUUUGUAUAGGGAUAAACCUACCCUCGUGAGGGUAGCUGAAGGUACUAUACGAAUAAGCACCGGCUAACUCCGUGCCAGCAGCCGCGGUAAUACGGAGGGUGCAAGCGUUAUCCGGAUUUAUUGGGUUUAAAGGGUCCGUAGGCGGACUUAUAAGUCAGUGGUGAAAGCCUGUCGCUUAACGAUAGAACUGCCAUUGAUACUGUAAGUCUUGAGUAUAUUUGAGGUAGCUGGAAUAAGUAGUGUAGCGGUGAAAUGCAUAGAUAUUACUUAGAACACCAAUUGCGAAGGCAGGUUACCAAGAUAUAACUGACGCUGAGGGACGAAAGCGUGGGGAGCGAACAGGACUAGAUACCCUGGUAGUCCACGCCGUAAACGAUGCUAACUCGUUUUUGGGCUUUAGGGUUCAGAGACCAAGCGAAAGUGAUAAGUUAGCCACCUGGGGAGUACGCUCGCAAGAGUGAAACUCAAAGGAAUUGACGGGGGCCCGCACAAGCGGUGGAUUAUGUGGUUUAAUUCGAUGAUACGCGAGGAACCUUACCAAGACUUAAAUGGGAAUUGACAGCUUUAGAAAUAGAGCUUUCUUCGGACAAUUUUCAAGGUGCUGCAUGGUUGUCGUCAGCUCGUGCCGUGAGGUGUUAGGUUAAGUCCUGCAACGAGCGCAACCCCUGUCACUAGUUGCCAUCAUUCAGUUGGGGACUCUAGUGAGACUGCCUACGCAAGUAGAGAGGAAGGUGGGGAUGACGUCAAAUCAUCACGGCCCUUACGUCUUGGGCCACACACGUAAUACAAUGGCCGGUACAGAGGGCAGCUACACAGCGAUGUGAUGCAAAUCUCGAAAGCCGGUCUCAGUUCGGAUUGGAGUCUGCAACUCGACUCUAUGAAGCUGGAAUCGCUAGUAAUCGCGCAUCAGCCAUGGCGCGGUGAAUACGUUCCCGGGCCU